rnacentral:rRNA from 1 species
ACUCAAAUGAAUUGACGGGGGCCCGCACAAGCGGUGGAGCAUGUGGUUUAAUUCGACGCAACGCGAAGAACCUUACCUGGGCUCGAACGGCUGCCGAAGGCGACUGGAAACAGUUGCUGUCCCGCAAGGGACGGUAGUCGAGGUGCUGCAUGGCUGUCGUCAGCUCGUGUCGUGAGAUGUUGGGUUAAGUCCCGCAACGAGCGCAACCCUUGUCCUGUGUUGCAACUCCCGCAAGGGGGGCACUCUCAGGAGACCGCCAGCGAUAAGUUGGAGGAAGGUGGGGAUGACGUCAAGUCAUCAUGGCCUUUAUGUCCAGGGCUACACACGUGCUACAAUGGGCGGUACAAACCGUUGCUAACCCGCGAGGGGGAGCUAAUCGGAGAAAACCGUUCUCAGUUCGGAUUGCAGGCUGCAACUCGCCUGCAUGAAGCUGGAAUCGCUAGUAAUGGCAUAUCAGAACGAUGCCGUGAAUACGUUCCCGGGCCUUGUACACACCGCCCGU